GAUGAACGCUGGCGGCGUGCCUAAUACAUGCAAGUCGAGCGAACGGACGCGAAGCUUGCUUCUCUGAUGUUUGCGGAGGACGGGUGAGUAACACGUGGAUCACCUACCUAUAAGACUGGUAUCACUUCGGGACACCGGAGAUAAUCCCGGAUAAUAUUUUGCACCGCAUUGUUCAUAAGUGAAAGACGGUCUUUCUGCCACUUCUCGAUGGUUCCGAGCUGCAUUAGGUAGUUGGUAAGGUCACGGCUUUCCACGGCAACGAUGCGUAGACGAACUGACAGGGGGAUCGGCCACACUGGAGCGGAGACACGGUCCAGACUCCUGAGAGAGGCAGCAGUAGGGAAUCGUCCGCAGUGGGCGGAAGCCUGACGGAGCAACGCCGCGUGAGUGAUGGAGGUCUUGGGAGCGUAAAACUCUGUUAUUAGGGAAGAACAUAUGUGGAAGGAACUGUGCACAGCUUGACGGUACCUAAUCAGAAAGCCACGGCUAACUACGUG
rnacentral:rRNA from 1 species